AUUGAACGCUGGCGGCAUGCCUUACACAUGCAAGUCGAACGGCAGCACGGGAGCAAUCCUGGUGGCGAGUGGCGAACGGGUGAGUAAAGUAUCGGAACGUGCCCAGUCGUGGGGGAUAACGUAGCGAAAGUUACGCUAAUACCGCAUACGAUAUAUGGAUGAAAGCGGGGGAUCGCAAGACCUCGCGCGAUUGGAGCGGCCGAUAUCAGAUUAGGUAGUGGGUGGGGUAAAGGCUCACCAAGCCGACGAUCUGUAGCUGGCCUGAGAGGACGACCAGCCACACUGGGACUGAGACACGGCCCAGACUCCUACGGGAGGCAGCAGUGGGGAAUUUUGGACAAUGGGCGAAAGCCUGAUCCAGCCAUGCCGCGUGCAGGAUGAAGGCCUUCGGGUUGUAAACUGCUUUUGUACGGAACGAAAAGGUUUGGCCUAAUAAGCUGAGCUCAUGACGGUACCGUAAGAAUAAGCACCGGCUAACUACGUGCCAGCCGCCGCAGUAA
rnacentral:rRNA from 1 species